UUGGCCGCUUCCGCCCCAUCGCUCUCGGCUCACUUGUACCGCUUCUUAGCGCGGAAAGGCGGCAGCGAACCCGCAGCGAAGCAGAGGUCCCUCCCGGCCCGCCAGAGGGAUCUGACUACAGCUCCCAACAUCCCCCAGUCACCGCCUGCGCUGGCUAGAGAAUGCUGGGAGUUGUAGUCCUACCCUCCGGAGGGCCCCACAGGGGGACGGCUGCGCGACAGUCGCAGCGCGUGUGGCGAGGGUGUGGUGCAUGUGUGUAUGUGGGCACGCGUGUCGCGUGGGUCGCGAGGAGGGGCGGCCGGCGAUUCGCGAGGAAACGCGCCCGUGCAGAGAGGGUCGCGGUUGGAGCUGCCGGGCGGACAGCGGCGCGACUAGGCCGCAGCGGAGCUAUGCCCUGGCCUGCCCCGUGAGCGGCCGCUCCCGCCUCGUCCUUGUCUGGCCACCCCGCCAUGAAGAACCCCGGGGAGGCUGCGGAGCCGCCCUCAGUAGAUGAUGUCCAGCUGAAAGUGCCAGUUCUUCAGCAGCUGUAUCACUGGGACUGUGGGCUGGCCUGCUCCAGAAUGGUGCUACAGUACAUGAACUUGCUGAAUGAUGAUGAAUUCCAGAAAGCCAUUCAGGACCUCCAGUUGACCAAGAGUAUUUGGACCAUCGACUUGGCCUACCUGAUGCGCCAUUUUGGUGUGAAACAUCGGUUCUGCACGCAGACCCUUGGCGUGGACAAAGGCUACAGAAACCAGUCGUUCUACAGGAAGCACUUCGACACAGAGGAGAACCGAGUAAACCAGCUGUUCGCACAAGCCAAAGCCUGCAAAGUGGCAGUGGAGAAAUGCACGGUGACCAUCCAGGACAUCCAGGAGCACCUGGCCCGAGGCCACGCCGCCAUCGUGCUGGUGAACGCGGUCCUGCUGCUCUGCGACCUCUGCGCCAGCCCGGUCAAGCACUGCUGCUUCCUCCCCAUCGGCCAGAAGUGCUUCUGCCGGAGCCCCGACUACCAGGGCCACUUCAUUGUACUGUGUGGCUACAGCAAAGCCUCAGGGAGUAUUUAUUACAACAACCCUGCCUAUGCUGACCGAACAUGCAGCACCAGCAUCAACAACUUUGAGGAAGCCAGAACGAGUUAUGGCACAGACGAGGACAUCCUGUUUGUCUACCGAGACAGCUGACCCCUUGGCUUUGGUGCUUCCAGUUGGUCAUUGGCCAGCCAGUCCGUGGCUGCCAUGGCAGCUUACAUUGGCUCAGGACUCCUGCUGCAGAGACUUUGCUCCCGGACCGCAGCAGGGUUGCAAAGAAGGGAUGCCUAGACCACGGGUGGGCAGCAUGGAGGAAACACAGCUAUUCUGUGUUCUGUUGGAAGAAUUUGUGUCCUGAAAGUGCUGCGGGAGCCCCGUCCCAGGCAGGGACAUGAUUCUGCAUGCACCUGACCUCUGAGGAGCACGUGCAGGGAGUAACAGGCAGCCAAAGCAGUUUAAGAAAUAUCUGAUGUCACAAGCCAAAUUUCCAUGGGUCAUUUGGGAUUUCUGCAACUUUUGCAUUAGAGGUUGCUCUGUUCCAACUUCUGUGCAUUUGUGUGCUUGCUUGUUUUUCAUCUGGAACAGCACAGCUGAGCCGCUGUGGAUCAGUGCAUCAUGAGUCAUUUGAAUAUGACUGAACUGAAGCAAACUAUGUCAAGGCAUUACUGAAAAUUUGCCGUGCCAGGAAUGCAAGCACAGUACCAUUUUAAAUCACAGCACUGUAAUGUGGAGGGAAAAUGAAAUAUACUUGUCCUGAAAAAAUAUAACAGCAUUGCUUGUGGGUUCUCAGCAGACCCAGAUCUUUCUCAUAAGCAGACUUAAGCUGCUUGUGUGUGGCAGGUUUAGACAAAGGAUUUGUUGGGAUAAAACCACUUCAUCUAGCCUCUGACUUGAAAUUGUAGUGUAGGUAUUAGGCCUUGGAAACUGUGGUUGUAGGCUGCUGUUUUCAGUGGAAAAACUCCAAAGCAGGCUGAUGUGUUGAAUAAGGGCAGCUACUCCAUCUCUGAAAUCAUCGUGGGGCAGGCAUCCGAAAGUCAGCAAGCGACGCAUUCUGGGCAACUCCCCACAAUGGAAGAGUCCAGGCACUCCUGCCUCAGCUGGAGAAUAACUCACAGACCUGGGAAUAGGCACCAAGGUUCAGAACGGAACAAGAAAAAACGAAUGCAUGGUCCAUAGGAGAGCAAGCCCUGGGAACCCAACCCAACCCCCUGGGCUCAGGCAGCCACAGGCGGGUGGCAAGAGGUCAGAAGCAGGCAAGCCCAGCACAGCCUCCCAUGAAGCAGACUCUCCGCACAGGCGAACAAAAGCAGAUUCAAUUCUUACACAUAACAAAAGGGAUAUUUUACAUGCAGAUACAUUUGAUAUGCAAAAUAUAUUUUGUAAGCUGCGCUCAAUAAAGGUUUUAAGUUGUUAA